CUGUCUGAAUAUGGGGGGACCAUCCUCCAAGGCUAAAUACUCCUGACUGACCGAUAGUGAACCAGUACCGUGAGGGAAAGGCGAAAAGAACCCCGGCGAGGGGAGUGAAAAAGAACCUGAAACCGUGUACGUACAAGCAGUGGGAGCACAGAGCAAUCUGUGUGACUGCGUACCUUUUGUAUAAUGGGUCAGCGACUUAUAUUCUGUAGCAAGGUUAACCGAAUAGGGGAGCCGAAGGGAAACCGAGUCUUAACCGGGCGUUAAGUUGCAGGGUAUAGACCCGAAACCCGGUGAUCUAGCCAUGGGCAGGUUGAAGGUUGGGUAACACUAACUGGAGGACCGAACCGACUAAUGUUGAAAAAUUAGCGGAUGACUUGUGGCUGGGGGUGAAAGGCCAAUCAAACCGGGAGAUAGCUGGUUCUCCCCGAAAGCUAUUUAGGUAGCGCCUCGUGAAUUCAUCUCCGGGGGUAGAGCACUGUUUCGGCAAGGGGGUCAUCCCGACUUACCAACCCGAUGCAAACUGCGAAUACCGGAGAAUGUUAUCACGGGAGACACACGGCGGGUGCUAACGUCCGUCGUGAAGAGGGAAACAACCCAGACCGCCAGCUAAGGUCCCAAAGUCAUGGUUAAGUGGGAAACGAUGUGGGAAGGCCCAGACAGCCAGGAUGUUGGCUUAGAAGCAGCCAUCAUUUAAAGAAAGCGUAAUAGCUCACUGGUCGAGUCGGCCUGCGCGGAAGAUGUAACGGGGCUAAACCAUGCACCGAAGCUGCGGCAGCGACACUGUGUGUUGUUGGGUAGGGGAGCGUUCUGUAAGCCUGUGAAGGUGUGCUGUGAGGCAUGCUGGAGGUAUCAGAAGUGCGAAUGCUGACAUAAGUAACGAUAAAGCGGGUGAAAAGCCCGCUCGCCGGAAGACCAAGGGUUCCUGUCCAACGUUAAUCGGGGCAGGGUGAGUCGACCCCUAAGGCGAGGCCGAAAGGCGUAGUCGAUGGGAAACAGGUUAAUAUUCCUGUACUUGGUGUUACUGCGAAGGGGGGACGGAGAAGGCUAUGUUGGCCGGGCGACGGUUGUCCCGGUUUAAGCGUGUAGGCUGGUUUUCCAGGCAAAUCCGGAAAAUCAAGGCUGAGGCGUGAUGACGAGGCACUACGGUGCUGAAGCAACAAAUGCCCUGCUUCCAGGAAAAGCCUCUAAGCAUCAGGUAACAUCAAAUCGUACCCCAAACCGACACAGGUGGUCAGGUAGAGAAUACCAAGGCGCUUGAGAGAACUCGGGUGAAGGAACUAGGCAAAAUGGUGCCGUAACUUCGGGAGAAGGCACGCUGAUAUGUAGGUGAAGUCCCUCGCGGAUGGAGCUGAAAUCAGUCGAAGAUACCAGCUGGCUGCAACUGUUUAUUAAAAACACAGCACUGUGCAAACACGAAAGUGGACGUAUACGGUGUGACGCCUGCCCGGUGCCGGAAGGUUAAUUGAUGGGGUCAGCGCAAGCGAAGCUCUUGAUCGAAGCCCCGGUAAACGGCGGCCGUAACUAUAACGGUCCUAAGGUAGCGAAAUUCCUUGUCGGGUAAGUUCCGACCUGCACGAAUGGCGUAAUGAUGGCCAGGCUGUCUCCACCCGAGACUCAGUGAAAUUGAACUCGCUGUGAAGAUGCAGUGUACCCGCGGCAAGACGGAAAGACCCCGUGAACCUUUACUAUAGCUUGACACUGAACAUUGAGCCUUGAUGUGUAGGAUAGGUGGGAGGCUUUGAAGUGUGGACGCCAGUCUGCAUGGAGCCGACCUUGAAAUACCACCCUUUAAUGUUUGAUGUUCUAACGUGGACCCGUGAUCCGGGUUGCGGACAGUGUCUGGUGGGUAGUUUGACUGGGGCGGUCUCCUCCUAAAGAGUAACGGAGGAGCACGAAGGUUGGCUAAUCCUGGUCGGACAUCAGGAGGUUAGUGCAAUGGCAUAAGCCAGCUUGACUGCGAGCGUGACGGCGCGAGCAGGUGCGAAAGCAGGUCAUAGUGAUCCGGUGGUUCUGAAUGGAAGGGCCAUCGCUCAACGGAUAAAAGGUACUCCGGGGAUAACAGGCUGAUACCGCCCAAGAGUUCAUAUCGACGGCGGUGUUUGGCACCUCGAUGUCGGCUCAUCACAUCCUGGGGCUGAAGUAGGUCCCAAGGGUAUGGCUGUUCGCCAUUUAAAGUGGUACGCGAGCUGGGUUUAGAACGUCGUGAGACAGUUCGGUCCCUAUCUGCCGUGGGCGCUGGAGAACUGAGGGGGGCUGCUCCUAGUACGAGAGGACCGGAGUGGACGCAUCACUGGUGUUCGGGUUGUCAUGCCAAUGGCACUGCCCGGUAGCUAAAUGCGGAAGAGAUAAGUGCUGAAAGCAUCUAAGCACGAAACUUGCCCCGAGAUGAGUUCUCCCUGACCCUUUAAGGGUCCUGAAGGAACGUUGAAGACGACGACGUUGAUAGGCCGGGUGUGUAAGCGCAGCGAUGCGUUGAGCUAACCGGUACUAAUGAACCGUGAGGCUUAACCUUACAACGCCGAAGGUGUUU
rnacentral:rRNA from 1 species